AGGGGAAGGGAGCUGCGGCCUGGACUUGCCACCACUGACCCUGGAGAGAAGCUAUACUUGUUUAUUUUCCCUUAAGUUAUUUUUAUAUGGUAGCUUUUUCUACAUCUUACUCCUGUUGAUGCAGCUAAGUAUUGGUAAGAAUAAAGGAGUAUUUGAAACCA